GGAGGAAUACCCAAGUCCGGCUGAAGGGAUCGGUCUUGAAAAUCGACAGGAGCUUAACGGCUCGCGGGGGUUCGAAUCCCUCUUCCUCCG
rnacentral:tRNA from 1 species